UUGCUGACCGUUAUCCAGAUUGCAGCCACCAAGUUGUAACCAUAAAUACAGAACCCCAACGCGUGACUGAAGACCACAACCAUCUCCAGUAUGGAUCCUUAGGAAUAGCAAAUGCAAGUUUGGCUCCCCCGGAGUUCCUCCAUUCACUUCAGUGAAAGACUUUAGUGAUCUUACAGAGCUUUCUAUACUGAAAUGAUAGGAGGAACUCCAGGUGGCACCAAACAUUUUAUAUGCAACUUGAGUCAUUUUGAAGAUCUUCCUUUAUAAGAUCGAUGCCGCCAUGACCUAGGAGAUCCGCCAUGAGAGUUUGGCUGGAGGAUUUUAAUUGCAAAGCUCAAAGUUCCCAGAUUUGGAGACAAAUUAUAUUGUUCGCGGGGGCGGGGGCGGGUGACGGGGUGAUGGGAGGUGAGCUUAGACACAGCCCAAGCCACGACCUGAACCUUCAUAUAUAGGACCUUCUUUGAGUAUUUUCCUGAACAUGGAGCAGACAACACCGUGGAUGGAUCAUGUGUUUGACAUUCUCUGGUUAUGGCUGAGGUGCUAUAAUGGCACGAGCAGCGUUCUCCUGUCUUUGCGAUUGUCCCUCCAUGACCAACUUCAAGAGGGGCACCUCCCCACCUUGCUCGAUGGUGAGCCUGUGAUAGAAUUGCAUGCAAGGGACAAGAUGGUGGUGGCCUGUGAUAGAAUUGCAUGCAAGGGACAAGAUGGUGGUGAUGAGAAUGGAGGAAGAGGAAAGUGAAGGCAACAGAAUCAAAAUACUUUAUGUGGUUAGAGGAAUUUUUACUAUUUUGGGUAGUUUUGUACUAUCCAGUUUUAUUUCGAGCAAUUUUAUUAAGUAAAAUAUUGGAUGUGUAAUUUCCACCAAAUUUACCAAAGUAAAUAAUUAAAUAAAUAAAAGAUUGGAUGUGUUUUUAAUAAA